rnacentral:sRNA from 1 species
UUUAACUAAUUCACCAUUACGGACCAAUAUACACUAUUGCGAAUUAAAAAUUUCCAUACUAACACUCACUUGAGCAUAAAACUUUAUAAGAUGAGAAAUUAUAGAUAUAUUUCCCAAAAAGCUUCACACCAAUAUUAAUAUAACAAGGGGAUUGACGUAAAUGACACUAAAAAACUUUAUUAUUCCAAAAAAUGACACCUUUUUUUUGAAAUUUCCAAAAUAGCAUAUAAAAUUUUUAAUCCUCUAUAAAUUAAUU